CUGACUUCUGUCUCCCAGGAUGGAGGAAGACGCUGGCCUGGUCCCCUACAAGGAUGGCAUGGUGGAGGAUGAAACAGACAAGUUAGAGGAUCCAGAGUUUGAGAUGAAUUGUGGCCCUCUGGUCACGGAGAAUGCGAUUGCCCCUGAGCAACCCUGUCCCAGGAAGGAAGGAGGCACUGAUGCUAAGAAAAUGAAGCCGGAGACCUUGGCCACAGACAGGCUGCAGGCAUCUCAGCUGCACAGGAGCCUGGAGCUCCUGGACCAAGCAUUCGAGGAGAAGGAGCUGUUCCUCCAGAAGACCCGAGAGGAGCUGUGCGCCUGUCGCCAGAGGAUGGACCUCCUGAGCAAGCAGCAGGCGACUGUGGCUGAAGAGGUCACCCGGGAGAGAACAACCAGCAACAUGGCAGCGGUGGGCCGACUACAGGCCACAUCCCGACGCCUGUGCCUGGAGCUGGAGGAUGAGCGGGACCUGCAGGCACGAAUCAUGGCCGUGCUGCAGGAGAAUGAGAGCGCCAUGUGGCACCUUGAGAUCAAGAAAGGGCAGCUGGAGGACAUCCGGAAGUCCAGCUGCCAGAGGACGGAGGCCAGGGACCUCUGCCUCAGGGCACAUGUGGCCCAGCAGCUCUGCAGGGAGGAGGAGGCCUCAGGGAGGGCAGAGAGGAACCGGAGGCUGCAGAUCCGGAAGUCCUUGCACAUGCAGAGAGAGCUGGGGCUCAAGCACCAGAAACUGGUGGAAGAUGCCCAGAAGAACCACUGGGUGGCAGUGAAGUUCCUGAAGGCUUCCCUGGGCCGAGUGCGGGAGCGAGAGCGGAAGCAGGAGCUGGAGUCCCGUGAGCACCUGCAGCGGCGCAUGGAGGCCGUGCUGGCACUGAAGAACAGCAUCACCGCUAACCGGGAGACACUGAGGAAGUUUCAAGCCUGGGGCCGGGCCAGGAAGGAACAGGAGGGGCAGCAGGUCCAGGUGGAGCAGCAGGAGGUCCUGGCCCAGGGCAGGGACGCCUUCAAGCACCUUUUCCACCAGCGUCGUCGCCAGGAGCUGGAGGCGCAGAGGCGGGCGUUUGAGGAGCAGCAGCAGCUGCGGAAGCAGGAGAUAGUCAGUCGGAUCCUGCAGGAGGGCACCAAGGAGGGAAACUGCAGGAAGAGGCAGCAGCCCCCAGCCAAGGCCACCACCCCUCGGAUGCUGAGGGACCGGACCUGGAGCUACAUCACUGCCUUCUGUGAAGGGAAAGCGUACCCCACGGCCACCAGGCACUCUCCAGCCAGCGAGGCAGCGGUGCAGCCCAUGUCUCUGCUGAUGCUGACAACCUCCAGCGAAUCCAUGCAGAACGUCCCCAGGCUGGCCAGCCUGGAGGAGGAGACGCUGGCUGAGCCAGAGAUUCUCGGACUGUGGAGCGAAGAGCACAGGCAGUACCAGGUACCCAAGGAGGAUGUGGACCGGAAGCCCGUGGGUGAGACGAAGAUGGACAAGGACAUUCUGGCCCGCAUGCUGGCACGGCUGCGCAGUGGGGUGGUCCACAAACAGGUGGCGUCUGGCCGGGAAUUCAAGGGCCGCCCCUUCAACAGCAAGCCCGAGCGGAUCCACUUCAAGGACUUUGAUGUUGGCAAAGUGUACAAGAAGAAGAUAACGCUCAUCAACGCCACCUACACGAUCAACUACUGCAAGCUGGUUGGCGUGGAGCAGCACCUCCGGGACUUCAUCCGUGUGGACUUCGACCCUCCUGGGCCCUUGUCUGCUGGGAUGUCCUGUGAGGUUCUCGUCACCUUCAAGCCCAUGAUAAACCAAGAUCUGGAAGGAAGCAUCUCCUUUUUGGCUCAGACAGGCGGAUUUUCUGUCCCACUGAAAUGUUCAACAAAGAAAUGUUCUUUGUCCCUGGACAAGGAGCUCAUCAGCUUUGGCAGCUACAUGGUGGGAAAGACCACAUCACGAACCAUCACGCUGACCAAUGCCGGGGGGCUGGGCACCAGGUUCCGGUUUCUCCCGGCCUCUAAGGCCUGCAAGCUGGACGAGUCCCAGUCUGCCCUGAAGCCAAGCAGCCUGUACACCUAUGAGGACCGGAGUCUCUAUGAGGGGGCCGUGUAUGAUGUGUCCGAGACACUGUUGGAGGCCAGCACAUCCUCCCCGCUGGACACCCAGAGCCAGAAGGAGUCAGAGAAGUCCAAGGAACCAGAGGGCGUGCCUGCAGCCGGCGUCAUGGUAACCAGCCCCAGCGAGGCCCAGGCGCAGAUCACGCUGGGUGAGGUGACUGAGGGGGAAAUCGGGCCCUUCAGCUCCAUCAGAGUGCCCGUGGUCUUCACACCAGCUGUCCCCGGAGAGGUCCACGCCCAGUUCCAGGUGGAGUCCAAGAACCCACAGUGCCCAACGCUGUAUUUCAGAGCCACAGGCGUGGCGGUGGACGUGCCCCUGUGGGUGCCCAAGCCCAUCGUGGACCUCAAGAUCUGCAUGUAUGACCGGCUGUACCAGGACUCCGUGCUCGUGCACACACGGUCCAAGGUGGCCCUGCGCCUGCGGUUCGAGGUAUGCAAGGAGCUGAGAGGCCACCUGGAGCUGCUGCCCGAGACGGGUUACAUCCAGGCCCUGGCGUCCUGCUCCGUGCAGCUGAAGUUCCUGCCCCGACAGUCCCUCCCAGAAGAUGCCGGGGAGUACUUUGACAAGGACACCCGCGUGCUGGAGGCCCCAAUGACAAUCUGGGUGGCUGACCAGACCAAGCCGGUGGGCUUCACGGUGCACGCCAUUGUCACCACUUCGGACCUGGAGCUCUGCCCCUCCGCGCUGGACUUUGGCUACUGCACCAUCUACGAGGCCAUCAGGGCCAGCAUCAGCCUCUGCAACCACUCGCUGCUGCCCCAGGAGUUCGGAUUUGUGGGGCUCCCCAAGUUUGUAGACAUCCAGCCCAAUGACGGCUUCGGCACGAUCCUGCCGCUGGAGACGCUGCAGCUCCAGGUGCUCUUCCAGCCCACCAAGGCCAGAGAGUAUAGCUUCGAACUGGUCUGCAAGUCCAAGAUAAACCGCUGUGCCGACCUUACAGACCCCCGAGCUGUACAGGCAGGAAAACACCUGCACUGAGCUGGCAGGUGGCACAGCCAGGCCAGGAGCAGCGGGCUCAGGAAGGUCUCUGAGCAGCCACCUGCUGCCACCAGCACAAGCCAGGUGCUGAGCCAUCACCGCACUGCCCCAGAAGAUGCCAAGAGCGAUGUCACAGGCCCACCAGGGAGGUCUCCAGGCCCCAGCCAAACCCAGACCUCCAGCUGUCACAGUGGCAGCCCCUGACAUCUCUCCAGUGAGCCUGGGUGGCCUCAGAGACAAGGAAGGACCCCUGCAUGCAGCAUGUAAGAGGUGCUGCUUCCAUCCCCAGCACUGAAGAAAAAAGGUGCAGGUCGGGGGGUGCACAACUAUGAUCCCUGCUACUAGGGAGGCUGAGACAGGAGGAUCUCUUGAGGUCAGAAGUUGGAGUCCAGCUUGGGAAACAGUGAGCCCCCCUCAAAAAAAAUAAAAACACAACAACAACUAGAAGGUGAGUCACUGUGUGCAUUUUAUCACAUGGAGAAGGGGAAUCAUUGAGAGUAAUGCUCAGCAUUCAUAGAAACAGGAGCCCCAGGCCACCAGAGACCCCUGAACCAGCCUGGCAAUGUAGGUCCAUCGUGUUUAGAAGAGGAUAAGGCUGGGUUAACACGAGGCACCAAUGACUGUCACGCUGCACAUGUUUCUAGCUCUUAGGGAGUGAGGCUGGUCACCAGCAGUGUCCCCAAGGAGAGGGCCUCUGACCAGGUAGAAAUAAGGGAUACAAACAUCCCAACCCUGCGUCGCACUGUGCAAGAGACAAGUAGGACAGGGUACCCACUGUCACCCUUUAAAGUAUGAAACAAGCCAGGCACAGUGGCACAUACCUGUUACCCAAGCACUCUGGGAGGCUGAGGCAGGAGUGCUGCAAGUUGAAGCCCAUCCUAGGCAGUUCAGCUACUUAGUGACACCCUCAAAAUACAAAAAUAAGUUCUGUCCCUGGUACCAGAAAAAAAAUACAAUGGGGAUGUAGCUCAGUGCAAAGGCCCUGAGUCUAGCCCCAAAAUAGGAAAAAAUGAAAGUGUAAAACAAUACAUGUACUCAGAACUGAAGUUGUAGCUCAGUGGUAGAGUGCUUGACUUGCAUGCAUGAGGCCCUGGGUUCAGUCCCCAGCACCACACACACACACACAAGUGUAAUUAGGAUAAAGUCAAUGAGGAAAGGCCAGGAAUUCAAGACAAAUGUGGAAUAUAAAAUUUCCAAAGCAAGUCAUAGUGGCACAUCCCUGCCAUCAGCCCUGGACAGGCUGAGGCAGGAAGAUCACCGACAAUUCAAGGACACCCUGGGCUACACAAAACCUGUCUCCAAAAUAGCUGGGCAUGGUGGUGCACAUCUGUAAUCCUAGUGCUUAGGAGGCUG
ensembl:lincRNA